rnacentral:tmRNA from 1 species
AAAAUUGAUAAUUUUCAAUAUAAAUAUAUAUUUAAAAAGUUAGUUUGCUAACUAUGACGAUAAACGAAUUUCGUAAUAACCAUUGCGGACGUGGGGGCAGUACCCACCACCUCCACCAUUACAACUUAUGGGGGUGAACUAGAUUCGACGGGUGACUAAAGGCUAUUCUUUCGUUCGGGAUUGUUCCACCGUGACGGGCAAAUUUAUAAUUGCUAACGAAAGUUACGCACUUGCUGCCUAAUUAACUUUGUUAAUUAAGUAGACGGGGUCCGGGGCACCUGGCAACAGAACGCCCCUAUU